rnacentral:rRNA from 1 species
CCUACGGGGGGCAGCAGUGAGGAAUAUUGGUCAAUGGACGAGAGUCUGAACCAGCCAAGUAGCGUGAAGGAUGACUGCCCUAUGGGUUGUAAACUUCUUUUAUAUGGGAAUAAAACGUUCCACGUGUGGGAUUUUGUAUGUACCAUAUGAAUAAGGAUCGGCUAACUCCGUGCCAGCAGCCGCGGUAAAACGGAGGAUCCGAGCGUUAUCCGGAUUUAUUGGGUUUAAAGGGAGCGUAGGUGGAUUGUUAAGUCAGUUGUGAAAGUUUGCGGCUCAACCGUAAAAUUGCAGUUGAAACUGGCAGUCUUGAGUACAGUAGAGGUGGGCGGAAUUCGUGGUGUAGCGGUGAAAUGCUUAGAUAUCACGAAGAACUCCGAUUGCGAAGGCAGUUCACUGGACUGCAACUGACACUGAGGCUCGAAAGUGUGGGUAUCAAACAGGAUUAGAUACCCCUGUAGUC